rnacentral:rRNA from 1 species
GAUGAACGCUGGCGGCGUGCUUAACACAUGCAAGUCGAACGAUGAAGCCCAGCUUGCUGGGUGGAUUAGUGGCGAACGGGUGAGUAACACGUGAGUAACCUGCCCUUAACUCUGGGAUAAGCCUGGGAAACUGGGUCUAAUACCGGAUAGGAGCGUCCACCGCAUGGUGGGUGUUGGAAAGAUUUAUCGGUUUUGGAUGGACUCGCGGCCUAUCAGCUUGUUGGUGAGGUAAUGGCUCACCAAGGCGACGACGGGUAGCCGGCCUGAGAGGGUGACCGGCGACACGAGUACUAAGAGACGGAGCAGAGUGGAACAGUAGGCAGUGGGGGGGAAUAUGGUACAAUGGGCGCGAGUCUGAGGCGGAGGCCUCGGGUUUGUAAAGACCGCUUUCGGGGUGUGAACCGCAUUAAGUUAGGAAGAAGCGAAAGUGACGGUACCUAAAGAAGAAGCACCGGCUAACUACGUG